AAUAGCUCCUGGAUGGAAAUGCCUCACCUCACCUUUGUCUCCGCAGGUCCAUCUGCUUCCUCCCUGAGCUUCAAAGGGGAUGGCCCGCUACCUCACCAGCCCUUUGUCUGAAGCAUCCAGACCUCACAUCCUCACCCACAAAGCGUCACUGCUCACACAGGUCCUACUUCUGAGGUGGGGAGGGCGAACUCCAGGGGCGACCCUCGAACUCCGCGCCGGUGCCCGCAGUUCGAACGACCGCCUCCAGCCCCGACUCUGCGUAUCCCCGCCUCCGACCUCCGACGCUCGGCCGCGGUAGAGGCCCGGCCGACGCCCGCUCGAAGCCGCGCCAUGCCCUCCUCCAUCCUCACCCGCUGCCGCAGGCCGC